CACAUCAACACGCAAUAUAUCCGUUAAUAAGCACGCCCUGCUGCUUUAAAUGUUUGAGCUCUUCAAAGUCGCUGAAUUCUGAUUGGCUGUCAAAGCUUUUAUGGUUCAUCAGCUGAAAAAAAAAAACACUUCGUAAAUGAUUCACACAAUAUUGUUCUCAGUAUCGGUCGUUAUCCGUAUAGCUGUAGUGUGAACUCAUAGAUUUAGACUGAUAAUUAAACCAUCACUGUUAUCGUUUUAGUUAUCGUCAUUGGUUUGAAUGGGCCUUUAACGAUUUUAUUUGUUUUGUUUUAUUCCACUUCCUCUCAUGUUGCGUUUUUAAUAGCCACAACAUGUUUUUGCAUUUCGCCGCACUGCUUUCCCAUUGUUUUAUAUAUAAACGUACACGCUUGAUCGCUUUUGAAGCAUCUCGCGCAUGAGUGGCUAUUCGCACUGAACGCUUAUUUGCAUUGGAAGACAUGAGACUUCAUAUGCGUUCGUACGAUCUCAUUAAUACGGUUUUGUAGAUCUGCUUACGCCCCACUCAUGGUUAGCUUUAGGGGUAGACCUUCAAGCAUCUGUACGAAAAUUGUACGUUUGCGUAUGAUUCUGGUUUCAAAAAACUACGUAGAAUUUGGUCACCGUGCGUGGUGACCUGCUGACCUAGGCAUGUGGUCUGGACCUGCUUGUUUUCUCGCUGCAUAGCUAGACAGCAUUUUUGCCAAUUAUCUUCUCAUAAUAGACUAAAAUUACAGUGAGCUGUUUAUCUAGACAUUAGUUUGUGGCAUUAUAGCCUCUAACCCGAGUGUGCUGCCCAUCUAGUGUCUUUUCAGCUUCAUGUAGGUCACAACUCUGGCUGAGUCACAUGAUUUGGAGGACUAUAAUGAAUAGAGGCUCCUCAAAGAAAGAAAGAAUGCGAUUAAUGAGUCCUUUCUCAAUGGCUCUUUCUGUUGCAGAUAGCGCCGUUGGCGGUAAAAGCAGUUUGUUUUGGCCGCUGAAGUGUUUCCCGGGAGUUUUCAGAAAGACACACAGAGGACAAGCUGACGUAAACACCAAUAGUUGGCAGCAGGGUACAAGGAUGUUGAUUUGCAUUCAGAUUGAAACCUGUUGUUUCACUAUGAACUAACCGUGCAAUCUUAACUCUUCUAGCCAAUCCAAAUGCAGCCGAGGAAGGAAUUCCACUGCAGACGCGGCACACAACAGACUGACGCCAUGCCGGCUCUGCAAAUAGACCAAAAUGGAUGAAGAACAAGCCUCGAACCGUGUGCCUGUGCGCUACACAGGUCAUAUACUCUUGCACUAUGACGUACCAGUCAGGAAGAUCUGGAGAAGUGAGAAAUGAAGGCGAUGAAAGGCUGCUAGAGCAUUAUACGUGAUGCAAUUUUUUUUGUUAUCUCAGAAGGAUAUAUCACUACUAUCACAGUAACGUACAGAGUUUAUUAGUAUUAAAUAAUCUAAUGUGACAAUUCCUGAACACUGUGAAUGAC
ensembl:lncRNA